AGGGCUGGGAAAAUAGUUCAGGGAUAAAAUGUUGCUUCAAAGCCCUGGUUUGCAGGAGCCUCAAGAGAUGUUUUUCUAUGAUCUGAUGGCCAUUUCAGAACUUGGGCAGUGAAAUGGUUAAUUCAUUAGAAAGAAACAGCU
ensembl:snoRNA